UUCGCAAUGCCCGAAAGGGUGACGAAGCGACGCCGCGUGGGUGAGGAAGGCCUUCGGGUUGUAAAGCCCUGUCAGGAGUUAUGAAAUGUAAGUGCGCUAAUAUCGUGCUUAUUUGACAAAGGCUCCAAAGGAAGCCACGGCUAACUCUGUGCCAGCAGCCGCGGUAAUACAGAGGUGGCGAGCGUUGUUCGGAAUUAUUGGGCGUAAAGAGCACGUAGGUGGGUUUGCAAGUCAGAUGUGAAAGCCUUCUGUUCAACGGAAGAAUUGCAUCUGAAACUGCUAAUCUUGAGUAUAGGAGGGGAGAAUGGAACUUCUGGUGGAGCGGUGAAAUGCGUUGAUAUCAGAAGGAACGCCGGCGGCGAAAGCGAUUCUCUGGCCUAUUACUGACACUCAGUGUGCGAAAGCUAGGGGAGCAAACGGGAUUAGAUACCCCGGUAGUCCUAGCCGUAAACGAUGGGCACUAAGUAGAGGGGUUUUA
rnacentral:rRNA from 1 species